AUUGAACGCUGGCGGCAUGCCUUACACAUGCAAGUCGAACGGUAACAAGUCUUCGGAUGCUGACGAGUGGCGAACGGGUGAGUAAUACAUCGGAACGUGCCAAGUAGUGGGGGAUAACUACUCGAAAGAGUGGCUAAUACCGCAUGAGAUCUACGGAUGAAAGCAGGGGAACGCAAGACCUUGUGCUACUAGAGCGGCCGAUGGCAGAUAAGGUAGGUGGUGGGAUAAAAGCUUACCAACCCGACGAUCGGUAGCUGGUCGUAGAUGACGGUCAGCCCCACUGGGACUGAGACACGGCACAGACUGCUACGGGAGGCAGCAGUGGGGAAGUUUGGACAAUGGGCUGAAGCCUGAUCCAGCAAUGCGGCGUGCGGGAUGAAGGCCUUCGGGUUGUAAACUGCUUUUGUACGGAACGAAAAGCCCUGGGUUAAUACCCUGGGGUCAUGACGGUACCGUAAGAAUAAGCACGGGCUAACUACGUGCCAGCAGCAGCCGCGGUAA
rnacentral:rRNA from 1 species